rnacentral:rRNA from 1 species
AACGUAGGAGACAAACGUUAUCCGGAGUUACUGGGCGUAAAGGGCGUGUAGGUGGUUUCGUAAGUCUGGCGUGAAAUAUCUCGGCUUAACCGGGGAACUGCGUCCGAUACUGGAUGGCUUGAGUUUGGGAGAGGGAUGCGGAAUUCCAGGUGUAGCGGUGAAAUGCGUAGAUAUCCGGAGGAACACCGGUGGCGAAGGCGGCAUCCUGGACCAACAC